AUGAUAAUACAAGCGGAACUACGUAGCUAAUACUGUUGUAACUGGGGAUCCUUAUUGUAGCAACACACUUUUGUAGGGAAGGCAAUCCUGCGCUGCGUUAGCUAAGUUUUCAUGUCAUCGGGUGUAGUUCAUAAAGGUUGAAGAGUGUAUGUUAGGAUGAAGUGUGAAUUCAUGCCAGGAAUAAUAAGUGUGAAGUUUGAUUUCCUCCCUUCUGUAAUAAGCAGCCAAUGAGUUCUCACUGAAGGGGAUAAUUCUCACUGAAACUACUGAAUAAAGCCGCCAGUUAAAAUCAUGGAACGGUUGUGCUCGUGGUUACUGAAGGGAGCUACAAGACCAUUAUUCGUUUCGAAUUCACCAACUCAAAGACGCUUGCCCGCUCCAUCAUAACUCCGUAAGUUUUCCCUCCCUGUGUAGAUCAAACGUCCUGCCUGUAAAUCCUGGGUAUGCCCACAUCAUUAAUGAAUAAGAUGUGUAGAAAACUGUUUAGCCAUAGUUAAAGGCCUUUCAUAAAGAGCCUGUCAUGAUUGCAUGUCCCUUAUGUUUAACACGUAUUGCUUGUUACAGAAUACUACUGUUGUACAUUUAAUAUCCCCUAGCAGAUUUCGUUGCCUUUGCACAAAUUCUGUCAUGUUACUGUGGUCUUUUUAAAAGUCAAUAAAAAUGUGUGUAAAGUGGC